GAUGAACGCUGGCGGCGUGCCUCAAACAUGCAAGUCGAGCGGGGCUAUGUAAUAUCGUAAGGUAGAACAUAGCCUAGCGGCGAACGGGUGAGUAACACGUGGGUAACCUGCCUGGAAGACAGGGAUAACGAUUCGAAAGGGUCGCUAAUACCUGAUAAUAUCCUUUCAUCGCAUGGUGAUAGGAAGAAAGGGGAAACCCGCUUUCAGAUGGGCCCGCGUCCCAUCAGCUAGUUGGUAAGGUAAAGGCUUACCAAGGCGACGACGGGUAGCCGGUCUGAGAGGAUGUACGGCCACACUGGGACUGAGAUACGGCCCAGACUCCUACGGGAGGCAGCAGUUGGGAAUCUUAGGCAAUGGACGAAAGUCUGACCUAGCGACGCCGCGUGAGGGAAGAAGGGCCUUCGGGUUGUAAACCUACUGUCAUGGGGAAGAAGUAAGUAGACGGUACCCCAACGAGGAAGCCCCUGCUAACUACGUGCCAGCAGCCGCGGUAAGAGUAGUACA
rnacentral:rRNA from 1 species